AUAGAGAUUUUUCAAACUAUUCAUAUGUAGUAGUUACAAUUUCAAGUAAAGGUGAUCGCGGCGAUAAUAUUGAAACUAGUGAUGGAAAAUACGUCAAUUUAAAUACUAGUAUAGUAUUAAAAUUACAAAAAAAUGUUACUUUGAGAAAUAAACCGAAAUUAUUUAUAAUUAACAUGAACCGUGGAAGUUUUGGUAAUUCAUUUGCUAUUUCUGGAACUAGUUCGAGUGAAAAUAAUAUUAAUUUUACGAAUACAAUGCGAUUUUAUGCAACUCAUGAAGGUGGGAAAAUAUAUAAGUCGAUUUUUUCUGAAGUUUUUUGCUAUUAUUUAUACCAUGAGGGUCAUAGCAAGUCUUUACAACAUAUUAUGACCGAAACGAAAAAAAAAGUAAUGAAAUUGACCAGCGAUUCUCAAAUCCCUAAUUUGUGUACUACUAUGUAUCACGAUGUUAUAUUGGGAAGGUUAUGAAAAAAUAUCUAAAGAUUCGUAUGAAUAAUAGAUUUCAAAUUUAUAAAAAGAUAAAACUUCCUUAAAAUGAACACUUUAAAUCUACUACUUGCUAUUUUUUAAUUAAAUUCAAAAAUUAUAUGUACAUAUUUUAAUUUAUUUGUAUAAUACAAUUUUUGUUUAUAAUAAAUAUUAUUUUUUUAA